rnacentral:lncRNA from 1 species
CCACCUUCUUUUUUUUUUCUGCUAAAAUUGUAAAUAUCAUUUAAUGAAAGUUUAGGUGUUACAUAUUUGAAGACCUAAAAGCAAAUUUCCUUGCAAAAAAAGAAAUAAAAAAACAAGGAAACAUUAGACACUACACAUUCUCAAGAUAUGAAAGAAAAAGAUCCCUCAAUGGAGCCAGAAAGCCAUAAGAUUUCUGAAAUUCUUCAGCUUCCUCCUGUCAGUGAUGGAAUUCUUGAUCUACCGGUCAAUUUCUUUGAAGAUACUAAGACCACCCACCUUCUCCACUCCUCUUUCAGCCUUCUCAUCAUUCUUCUGCAGCCCUCUCUGCAGCCCGCUCGGCCUGAUCUGUAGCCCGCUCGUCUUCCAACGUUUAUUCCUCCUUUGUUUUUUUUUAUUGAAGUUUCUUUACAGCUUAUAGGCUCAUGUAAAUUAGAUACAUAACUAGGGUCUGAAAAUUAUUUGUUGGUUCAGAAAAGAAAAAAACAUACCAAAGUUUUUUCUUAUGCAUGCAUGUCUUUGUGAUAUUUUCUCUCCAUCAAAAUCUUUUAAUCAUCAAAAUUUAAGUAAAUACUGAUUGCUCGAGUAAUUACCCGAUACACUUAACCGCAAGGUAGUAUAUACGGGGUCGAUCCACAAGAACCAAUGGUACACUAAAGACUUCCGAGACUCGUUCUUAGCUAAAGCGGAAAGAUUGUUU